rnacentral:rRNA from 1 species
CAAUAGCGUAUAUUAAAGCUGUUGCAGUUAAAAGCUCGUAGUUGGAUCUCGGGUCCAGACUAGCGGUUCACCUCGCGGUGAUUACUGCCCGUUCUGACCUACCUACCGGUUGUCCCUUGGUGCUCUUGAUUGAGUGUCUCGGGUGGCCGGAACGUUUACUUUGAAAAAUUAGAGUGUUCAAAGCAGGCAGUACGCCUGAAUAAUGGUGCAUGGAAUAAUGGAAUAGGACCUCGGUUCUAUUUUGUUGGUUUCUAGGACCGAAGUAAUGAUUAAUAGGGACAGUUGGGGGCAUUAGUAUUUAAUUGUCAGAGGUGAAAUUCUUGGAUUUAUGAAAGACUAACUACUGCGAAAGCAUUUGCCAAGGAUGUUUUCAUUAAUCAAGAACGAAAGUUAGGGGAUCGAAGAUGAUUAGAUACCGU